rnacentral:rRNA from 1 species
UACGUAGGUGGCAAGCGUUAUCCGGAAUUAUUGGGCGUAAAGAGCGCGCAGGUGGUUGAUUAAGUCUGAUGUGAAAGCCCACGGCUUAACCGUGGAGGGUCAUUGGAAACUGGUCGACUUGAGUGCAGAAGAGGGAAGUGGAAUUCCAUGUGUAGCGGUGAAAUGCGUAGAGAUAUGGAGGAACACCAGUGGCGAAGGCGGCUUCCUGGUCUGUAACUGACACUGAGGCGCGAAAGCGUGGGAAGCAAACAGGAUUAGAUACCCGGGUA